GUUGGUCAUGUGUAUUCUUGAGUGAAUAACACUUUAUGUUCGUUGUUAUUGCUUGAGAAUACACGUAGUUAAC
rnacentral:pre_miRNA from 1 species